GAGGCCUAAUGGUUAGAGCAUCCGCAUCGAAUGCGGGAGGUCGUGGGUUCGAGUCCCGGCAGAGUCA